GUCAAAUCCACAUACAUGACGUAACGUCCCCUCCCACAUUUUCUCGCCUCUUUUGUACCAUCAUGGCGGCAGCCGGGAGAUAUAACCGCAUGGCAGCGUCUCAACCGGGGUUUUUGCCUCUUAAAUCGAAUCUGGAUGGCAGCUUUUCGUAUUUCAAACGGCGAAAGCGCGUGAACAAAAAUAAGAAAAAGAACUGGAAUAAAUUCCGUGAUAUCCAGGAUGUGGAGGAGUUUCUGGAUGAUGUACAGCUUCAGGAGAGAGCCACAGGAUGACUUUCUCUUCUUUGUGGACACUGGUGAAACAGAUGGAAAAGAUACACAACAACAGACAACAGUCAAGAAAGGUAAAAACUUGAAACCUUUGUGGAUGGAUCUAAUUCUUCAGCUGGAUUCCCACAUACCUGGCCCAAAAAAGUGAGUACAGUACGACUCUGCUGCCUGUAAGAUCUACAUUCAGUGACUGUAACAUGCUCUUCUCAAGGGAGCUUCUGCCCACUGAUGAUC
ensembl:lncRNA